rnacentral:rRNA from 1 species
GACAGAGGGGCAAGCGUUGCUCGGAAUCACUGGGCGUAAAGGGCGCGUAGGCGGGAUGGCAAGUCAGUCGUGAAAUCUCUCGGCUCAACCGAGAAACGUCGGCUGAUACUGCCGUUCUUGAGGGAUGCAGAGGAGACUGGAAUUCCCGGUGUAGCGGUGAAAUGUGUAGAGAUCGGGAGGAACACCGGUGGCGAAGGCGGGUCUCUGGGCAUCUCCUGACGCUGAGGCGCGAAAGCGUGGGAGCAAACGGG